UACGAAGGGGGCUAGCGUUGUUCGGAAUGACUGGGCGUAAAGGGCGCGUAGGCGGCGAUUUUAGUCAGGCGUGAAAGCCCUGGGCUCAACCUAGGAACUGCGUUUGAUACUGGAUCGCUUGAGUGUGGGGAGAGGAUGGUGGAAUUCCCAGUGUAGAGGUGAAAUUCGUAGAUAUUGGGAAGAACACCGGUGGCGAAGGCAGCCCCCCUGGGAUAACACUGACGCUCAUGCACGAAAGCGUGGGGAGCAAACAGGAUUAGAAACCCCAGUAGU
rnacentral:rRNA from 1 species